CUCACUGACAGACAGACACACAUACACACUCACAAAGUAUACACUCUCACUGACAAACACACACUCACUAACAGACACCAAACAGACUCACUAACAGACACACACUGAAUAACAGACACACACUAAGAGACACACAAACUAACACACCACUAACAGAAACACACUCACUGACACACAAAAACUAACACACUCACUAGCCAAAAAU